rnacentral:rRNA from 1 species
ACAACGGAGAGUUUGAUCCUGGCUCAGGAUGAACGCUAGCGGCAGGCUUAACACAUGCAAGU